UAACAUUGUUAAAUUACGAGCCUAGUUGGUUUAGCCACAGAAAAAGUGAGCAACAUUCCCACUAGCCAUGAUUGGCUGAGAUAAUGACAUGCCAAGAGAUGAGUUUGGAUUUUUUAUUUAAUUUUAAUUUUUUAUUUCACCUUUAUUAUAUUACAAUGACAUGGUAGGCUAGUUGAGGACAAGUUCUCAUUUACAAAUGCGACCUGGCCAAGAUAAAGCAUAGCAGUGUGAACAGACAGCAACACAGAGUUACACAUGGAGUAAAGUCAAGAGCAGAAAAGUAAAUAAAUAAAAACAGUAUGGGGAUGAGGUAGGUCAAUUGGGUGGGCUAUUUACCGAUGGACUAUGUACAGCUGCAGCGCGAUCGGUUAGCUGCUCAGAUAGCAGAUGUUUAAAGUUGGUGAGGGAGAUAAAAGUCUCCAACUUCAACGAUUUUUGCAAUUCGUUCCAGUCACAGGCAGCAGAGAACUGGAAGGAAAGGCGGCCAAAUGAGGAGUUGGCUUUAGGGAUGAUCAGUGAGAUACACCUGCUGGAGCGCGUGCUACGGGUGGGUGUUGCCAUCGUGACCAGUGAACUGAGAUAAGGCGGAGCUUUACCUAGCAUGGACAUGUAGAUGACCUGGAGCCAGUGGGUCUGGCAACAUUUCUUUCCCAUUGAUGAUCACUUGCACCGAUUUUUUUUUUAAAAGGCAGUUUUCCCUGCCUUUCGAGCUGCAGCCAUCUGCCACAGUUUUUCUCGUCACUUUGUCUGCCGAGGUCAGAUCCUCUGUGAACCUCAAUUUCUGCUUAAUGAGGAAUUCACAAUUCUUCGCUCGCCUCCAGAGAAGAUCCUGUGUAGAUAUGUUGGUGAACCGGAUGAUGGUUGUCCUCGGUCUCUUGUCUUGAUCCUUGAGUCUUCCCGAACGAUGUCUACAUUUUCCUGAAGUUUGGCUUUUGAUUCGGGAAUGACAGCUCCACAGAUGUCAACAACUCUGCAUUUGAUGUCCUCACCCGCCUGCUCUGGAAUUCCAUGGAGCCUUAGGGUCCACCUGCGCUGGUAUCUCUCCGCCUCAUUCACCUUUUGCUCGAGUUCAGCCACCUUCUUUUCAUUUUCCUGGCAGAUAACUUCCACUUUCUUCAUGUCACUUUUGAGGGUUUUCACUUCUCUAACGAUGAAGUCAACAGAUUUUUUUCUUGGCCUCAAUUUUCAUCGUAUUCUCCCUAACCAUGUCCUCCAAGUCAUUUGAUCUAUCUUUGCUGUCAAAAGCAUUACAAUAUUGUUUUGCAUCUCAAUAAGUGACAUACCCUCUUGGCCUCUCAUCAAAUCAAAUGUAUUUAUAUAGCCCUUCGUACAUCAGCUAAUAUCUCAAAGUGCUGUACAGAAACCCAGCCUAAAACCCCAAACAGCAAGCAAUGCAGGUGUAGAAGCACGGUGGCUAGGAAAAACUCCAUAGAAAGCUCUAAACUUAAGAAGAAACCUAGAGAGGAACCAGGCUAUGUGGGGUGGCCAGUCCUCUUCUGGCUGUGCCGGAUGGAGAUUAUAACAGAACAUGGCCAAGAUGUUCAAAUGUUCAUAAAUGACCAGCAUGGUCAAAUAAUAAUUAACACAGGAAGAACAGUUGAAACUGGAGCAGCAGCACGGCCAGGUGGACUGGGGACAGCAAGGAGUCAUCAUGUCAGGUAAUCCUGAGGCAUGGUCCUAGGGCUCAGGUCCUCCGUGAGAGAGAAAGAAAGAGAGAAUUAGAGAGAGCAUACUUAAAUUCACACAGGACACCGGAUAGGACAGGAGAAGUACUCCAGAUAUAACAAACUGACCCUAGCCCCCCAACACAUAAACUACUGCAGCAUAAAUACUGGAGGCUGAGACAGGAGGGGUCAGGAGACACUGUGGCCCCAUCCGAUGACAUCCCCCGGACAUCCCGCAACCACUUUGCCAAAGCACAGCCCCCACACCACUAGAGGGAUAUCUUCAACCACCAACUUACCAUCCUGAGACAAGGCCGAGUAUAGCCCACAAAGAUCUCCGCCACGGCACAACCCAAGGGGGGGCGCCAACCCAGACAGGAAGAUCACAUCAGUGACUCAACCCACUCAAGUGACGCACCCCUCCUAGGGACGGUAUGAAAGAGCCCUAGUAAGCCAGUGACUCAGCCCCCUGGGGCUUGACUGGAGUGCCAGGGUCGUAAGGUGAGCAUUGUUGUCCGUGCUAACCACAUUUUUAUCACCUAUUGCAGUAUUUCCCCCCACGGUUACAUUCUGAAGAGGAGUACCCACAAUCACACCAUCUUUUGUGGUUAAUUGUCCAUCUGAUGAUCUCUCCAUUUCUUUCCUUUUGGUUCUGGUCAUGGAAGUUUCCAUGUACGUUCGUCAAGCUAGUAUUUGAGCUAGCUAGCUUAUCUGGCUAUCUAGUGUUGUCGCAAACUUAGUUUUAGAGGUGAAUAACUUGCAGAAAGUAAUCAAUUACUUCGGUAAACAAACUAAACCAUAUUCAUACGGAGUUUUAAUAUCGUAGAAAUUACCAAAUGGUCAUAUUUGGAUAAGGAAAUCCAAUAAUUCCUUCAGCUACCAAAACAAAUGAUCUGCACUAACCGCCAUCUUGCGCGCCAUCCCACAUUUUCAGAUAUUACGUUCUAAUUUUGACAGAAAGCGGUUUAAUUUCAAGUGUACUGUUAACUAGCUAAUGUUAGUUGGCUGGGUCGCUAGCUAACGUUAAGUGUAUGAUCUUAUUCUUCAUAUCCCAGACACAUUUACUUGACUAGUUAUAGCCAUAGAACCUGGUUGGUUAGCUAUCUGCAGAUUCAUGCAGGGUAGUAAAGUCAUGAGUUGUGAUUAUGGUCCAUUGUUUAGCUAGCUUGCUACAUGUCUUAAUAAAAGACUCAACUAUGCAAGUAUCCAUUUCAAUAGAAUAUCACUGCAACUGUUGAUAGACGUACUAGCUGGUAAAUUUGCUCUGGCUAUGCAAGUAUCCAUUUCAAUAGAAUGUCACUGCAACUGUUGAUAGACGUACUAGCUGGUAAAGUUGCUCUGGCUAUCUACUCCGAUUUCAGACCACAGGUAAGAUAGUCUAGCUAGCUACAUUUUCAGAUAUUAUGCGUUUCUAAUUUUGACAAAGUAUUUUCAUUUUAAGUUAGUGUACUGUUAGCUCGUUAGCUAACAUUAGCUGGAUGGCUCGCUAACUAACGUUACGUCAUGUGUCGGGAUUCAUUGUGUACCUAGAUAGCUAUCGGGCUACAUUUUUUAAAUAAAAUACUCUUGUCUUAGUGUGCCAGAGCGCAGAAUAACUGAUUCCUUUUUGAACGCUCAACACCCGUUGAAUAUGUCUGGUGUCAGCAACAAAGUGUAAUUCAAUUGUUGCCACCAGCACAGUUACAGUCACCAAUGCUCUGGACAACAUGAAAACCAGCUCUGCCCGGGUGAGUAAAAUGGUCAGAGUGGGGUGCAGUGUUGCCAACUCAGUCAUUGGCUGUCCUAAAAGUCGCUAAAUGACGUCAUCGCCUAAUUGGCAAUGUGCAUGUAAUUGUGGUGGAAGCAGUAGGAGAGAGGAAUAACAUCGUGGGAGAGACAAAAAACCCUCCUCUUUUAUCCAGGCUUGGGACCGGCAAAGGUGUGAUUCAUUUGCAGUCUGGACGUGGAGGGGUGAACAUCUCAUGCUCUGACUGCAGCGCGAGGACUGGGCCGCCUGUGAGUGCUUUAGGACGGGGGUGAGGCCUGCGGCAGCACCCGCUCCUCGUUGAGAAGAUUGCAGGUGUUGGAGGGGGGUGGUGUAUUGGACAGGCCAGAGAGGGCCCAUCUACAGGUGGUUCAUCGCCCCUUGAUUCAUAAUCUCCCCAGCCUCCCCAACACAGCGUCCAGGCGCACCCAUGCUCAUUGCCCUACAACUCCGUCAACCUCCACCCAAUCUUCUCGACCCAGCUCCAAUGGCCGGAAGAGGAAGACAGCCGAGGAUCCUUUGGACACUGACAGUAUGGAUGACUUAAAGAAAUGGGAGGCACAGGAACAGAAGCAGUGUCAAGCAAAGGCUGUCUAUGACAUCAUGGUACCAUGGAUGGUGUCUAUUCCUGCUGAUCAAAGUCUCCCGUUUGUCUCACACCAAAAACUGUUGUUGUGUGCUUUGUUUUCUUAUUCAUACAUUAGGGUGGUGGGUAAUUUAGUAAUAUUUUUUUGCAUGUUUUUUAUAUUUCCUCAUUCACGUUACUGAUUUUUCUCUUAUUUCCACUUUCAUCACACUUUUCACCUGUGAUAGUAAAUAUCUUAAAAGGUCUGCAAGUCUAUUUGUUUGGUUAUUUUGUACUUGUGGCAGAAAAUAUUACUGUUUUGAAUCAGUCACUCAGUAAAGUUGUACUGCUGUGUGCAUGAGCUAUGUAGAUGAGGUUAAUAUCUUGGGGGGGGUCUGUCCUUAUUGUCUACAGCUGGACACUCGCCCAUGUACCAAAGCAGGAAGGUUUCCAUUGAAAGACCACUACACAUUACCAUGUACAACCUUGUGUUAAGUAGAUGAGUUUAAUGUCUCGAGGGUCUAGCCUUAUUAAGGACAGCUGGAAGAUCCAUUCUCACCCAUUUACCAUAGCAGGAAAAUUCUAAUUGAAAGGCCACUACACAUAACACAAUGUUCUGUAAAUGUUGAGGGUCUAGCCUCCAGAAAAGAAAGAAAAAGAAAACAAGGAUGAAAUUGUCAGAGACUCGAGUCAACCAAGUCAUAGAGCGUUUUCUCUGCUACCACAUGGCAAGCAGUACCGGAGCGCCAAGUCUAGGAUCAAAAGGCUCCUUAACAGCUUCUACCCCCAAGUCAUAAGACUGCUGAACAAUUUAUCAAAUGGCCACCGGACUAUUUACAUUGACCCCCCCAUUUGUUUUGUACACUGCUGCUACUCGCUGUUUAUCAUCUAUGCAUAGUUACCUCACCCCUAUCUGCAUUUACAAAUUACCUCUAACCUGUACCCCCCGCACACUGACUCAGUACCGGUACCCACUGUAUAUAGCCUCGUUAUUGUUAUGUUAUUGUGUUACUUUUUUUAUUAUUUAUUUGGUAAAUAUUUUCUUAACUCUUCUUGAACUGCACUGUUGGUUAAGGGCUUGUAAAGUAAGCAUUUCACGGUAAGGUCUACACUUGUUGUAUUUGGCGUAUGUGACAAAUAAAGUAUG